UACGUAGGGGGCAAGCGUUGUCCGGAUUUAUUGGGCGUAAAGAGCGUGUAGGCGGCCAUUCAGGUCAGCUGUGAAACUCGAGGCUCAACCUCGAGACGUCGGUUGAAACCGUUUGGCUAGAGUCCGGAAGAGGAGAGUGGAAUUCCCGGUGUAGCGGUGAAAUGCGCAGAUAUCGGGAAGAACACCCGUGGCGAAGGCGGCUCUCUGGGACGGUACUGACGCUGAGACGCGAAAGCGUGGGGAGCGAACAGG
rnacentral:rRNA from 1 species